rnacentral:tRNA from 2 species
GGGCCCAUAGCUCAGUUGGUAGAGCUACCGGCUCAUAACCGGUCGGUCAGUGGUUCGAAUCCACUUGGGCCCA